GGCCUCUCACUAAGUUUUCCUUCAUUUACUAAAAACAGUUCUCACCUUUCUUUUUCUCUACAAAAGUAGAAACUGAUUUAGGGUUUAAGCUACAUCCUUCUUUGAGUUUAUUGAACACUCCCUUCCGCGUCUUGGUGUUCCUUCCACUAAGGGCUUUCUUCUCCUCAAGUUAGCUUUCAGUCAAGGUGAGGAACUUCAGUUUUGAGCAAAGAGCAAUCUCGCUCAGGCGAGAAGGUCCCGCUUAAGCGAACUCGCGAAAAACUCACAGUGCCACAGUUUGAGCUCUCGCUCAGGCAAGAAUGUCUAGCUUAACCGAGAGAACCUUCGUCGCUUGAAUGAAGACUUCUAGCUUGAGCGAGACUGGUGCAAGGAUGUGUUUUAUUACUUGCUCUCUGCUAUGAUUGGCUGUUUUACUCCUUAAAAGUAUGAUAAAUGAUGUUGUUCAUGUAUGGUGUUAUAUUUGGAACUGUAUUUCAUAUGUUGGGCAUGAGAUGAUUAUGUUUUGAGAUAAUAUGUGUACUAUUUGAGCUUAACGUAAUUCCCUAAGUCUCUAGGGGAGACUUUGGUGGUGGUGGUGUUGUAAUGUAUGUAAUGAAAUAAGGAUUCAAUAAGGUUGUAUCCUGACACUCUAAUGAAUCAGUCAGACUCACAUAGAACAAACUGGUUCAAGUUGUGAGAGUAGCAGGAGGUCUUAGUUUCUAGCAGAAUAAUGGUCUUAGAUGAUCAUUGACUAACCUAACCUUGUGUGUGGUAAGGUGAAAUCCAUUGACAAUGACUCUGCAGAGUAGUAGAGGCUACCACAAGUGCAAGAAACCAGUGAAUCCAAUUUUAUUACAUGUAUCUGGAUAAUGGAGUUAGAGGGUCUUUUAUUAUUUGCUAUCAUAUGUCUUAUAUGCUUACUAAAUUGUCUAUUUAAAAUCUACUUGCUUAACAAUUAUUUUUCUCUAGCUUAAUCUUUCUUUUUGUGUCUGUUUUCUUAUUUGAUUCUCCUCUUGUAAUGAUCACCAGUAUUAGUGUGAACAGAUGUAGAGACCCCUGGUGACCACCAUGAUGAUGGUGUCACAAUGUAGUUUAGCUGUCUUGGAUUUUGUUUAUUGUGAAUCUUUUUUUGAAGAACAAUUUUAUUUUAAGUUCUUUGUUAUUUGAGCAAUCUUUG